CUGGCCUUGACAUCCAGAGAACUUUCCGGAGAUGGAUUGGUGCCUUCGGGAACUCUGAGACAGGUGCUGCAUGGCCGUCGUCAGCUCGUGUCGUGAGAUGUUGGGUUAAGUCCCGUAACGAGCGCAACCCCUAUCCCUGGUUGCUAGCAGGUAAUGCUGAGAACUCCAGGGAGACUGCCGGUGACAAACCGGAGGAAGGUGGGGAUGACGUCAGGUCAUCAUGGCCCUUACGGCCAGGGCUACACACGUGCUACAAUGGCGCGUACAGAGGGCUGCCAACUCGCGAGAGUGAGCCAAUCCCUUAAAACGCGUCGUAGUCCGGAUCGGAGUCUGCAACUCGACUCCGUGAAGUCGGAAUCGCUAGUAAUCGCGAAUCAGAAUGUCGCGGUGAAUACGUUCCC
rnacentral:rRNA from 1 species